UACCGAGGUCUCAAGCGUUGUUCGGUAUCACUGGGCGUAAAGCGUGCGUAGGCUGUUUCGUAAGUCGUGUGUGAAAGGCGCGGGCUCAACCCGCGGACGGCACAUGAUACUGCGAGACUAGAGUAAUGGAGGGGGAACCGGAAUUCUCGGUGUAGCAGUGAAAUGCGUAGAUAUCGAGAGGAACACUCGUGGCGAAGGCGGGUUCCUGGACAUUAACUGACGCUGAGGCACAAAGGCCAGGGGAGCGAAAGGG
rnacentral:rRNA from 1 species